rnacentral:rRNA from 1 species
UGAGGAAUAUUGGUCAAUGGACGCAGGUCUGAACCAGCCAAGUAGCGUGCAGGAUGACGGCCCUAUGGGUUGUAAACUGCUUUUAUAUGGGGAUAAAGUGGGGAACGUGUUCCCUUUUGCAGGUACCAUAUGAAUAAGGACCGGCUAAUUCCGUGCCAGCAGCCGCGGUAAUACGGAAGGUUCGGGCGUUAUCCGGAUUUAUUGGGUUUAAAGGGAGCGUAGGCCGUUUGGUAAGCGUGUUGUGAAAUGUAGGAGCUCAACUUCUAGAUUGCAGCGCGAACUGUCAGACUUGAGUGCGCACAACGUAGGCGGAAUUCAUGGUGUAGCGGUGAAAUGCUUAGAUAUCAUGAAGAACUCCGAUUGCGAAGGCAGCUUACGGGAGCGCAACUGACGCUGAAGCUCGAAGGUGCGGGUAUCGAACAGG